rnacentral:lncRNA from 1 species
UUUCAUAUAAAUUUAACCAUUUAACAAUAAUUUGCUAAAUAACAGCUCAAAAAAUUUCAUUAUUGUUUCAACUUGCGUCUACAGGCAUCAAGGAGUGUUAAGUGUAGGUCCCACAUAGCAGUAAUGGUGCAUCUGCAGUCAACGAAAUAAUUUUGUUGAGUGCACAAAGUUUUAUCGUCUUUGUUUUUCCCCAAAAGAAAAACCAUACCAGAUUGUCAAUGUAAAUCAAAAGGUACACUCCCACAUAAUUGAUCCACUGUUUGCAAAGAACAUAGCCCCUUAUGAUAACUGCACAAUGGCCAACAGAUGGUACCAGUUAAAUUCAAUCAUACUUUCACAAAGGGUUACACCUUGAACCAAGAUAUCCUAAAUUGGACACAAGCACUCAACAAAUAUUACUAGAAUCUAAUGCAUAUCUAAGGGUCUUUUUUAACCAAAGUACCAAACCUUGCUGUCUAAAUACGAAAUAAUAUUGGCAUUUAAUUGUCAAGAGUUAGUAAUAAAAUUGUAAAGCCUGAAUUUAGUUUGUCAGCUUGUUAAACGUAAACCAUUGCUCAACUCGCUAAAUAAUAGAAUAUGCUUACUGACCCAUGAAGUUUAACAUGAGUGUAGUUACUAGUUAGUAUAGGUAAUAUGCUGCCUUCAUUCUUCUCUAAAUGAUGUUGAUUAGUUAAAAUUAGCUACGUCACAUAAAAACAGAGGUGAGUACAAGACUG